rnacentral:rRNA from 6 species
UGGGGGACAACGUUUCGAAAGGAACGCUAAUACCGCAUACGUCCUACGGGAGAAAGCAGGGGACCUUCGGGCCUUGCGCUAUCAGAUGAGCCUAGGUCGGAUUAGCUAGUUGGUGAGGUAAUGGCUCACCAAGGCGACGAUCCGUAACUGGUCUGAGAGGAUGAUCAGUCACACUGGAACUGAGACACGGUCCAGACUCCUACGGGAGGCAGCAGUGGGGAAUAUUGGACAAUGGGCGAAAGCCUGAUCCAGCCAUGCCGCGUGUGUGAAGAAGGUCUUCGGAUUGUAAAGCACUUUAAGUUGGGAGGAAGGGUACUUACCUAAUACGUGAGUAUUUUGACGUUACCGACAGAAUAAGCACCGGCUAACUCUGUGCCAGCAGCCGCGGUAAUACAGAGGGUGCAAGCGUUAAUCGGAAUUACUGGGCGUAAAGCGCGCGUAGGUGGUUUGUUAAGUUGGAUGUGAAAUCCCCGGGCUCAACCUGGGAACUGCAUCCAAAACUGGCAAGCUAGAGUAGGGCAGAGGGUGGUGGAAUUUCCUGUGUAGCGGUGAAAUGCGUA